GUCACGAUAGCUCAGUGGUAGAGUAGCGGCGUUUGAAGCCGAAGGUCGUGAGUUCGAAUCCCGCUCGUGACA
rnacentral:tRNA from 1 species